AUGUUUUUCGUUUCUUUCUCCUGCUUCCUCGACUUCUUUCUCUUAUACUUCUUUUCUCAUUUCUGUAUGUUGUUGUUAUGGUGGUGCGAGGAAGCAUUGUGCAUUGAAGUUGUUUUUGAUUUAGUGCAAUUAAGAUGCUGCAAAUUCGUCGAAGUUUGCCAACCAGAAGCAUUUGUUGGUGUAAUGAUGUGUGAGCAAAUUGUUGUUGCGUUGAAGAAGGUUGAAGAAUCGGUGAAGAUGAUUGUAAUUCAGUGA